GGAGAGUGCAGGGAAGCUGCAAGAUGAGGGACCCUCACUGUGGCUCCAGGGAGGAGCUGUUUUCACUGAACCUUCUCAGGAAAAUUCAUCCACAAACAUCACAGGGUUUUUGUCCAAAAAGGAGACAGAGGAGUCCUUUUACUUUAUACAAAUAAAGGGAGCGGCCAUGGGGCAUUCUCGUGGGUUCUCUCAAAUUUUUGGAGGACUCAGCGUCCUUUUUAUCCCAAUUUCCUUCUCUCUUUCCCCAUUGGCUGAGGUACUUGAGGGCUUCAGACUUCCCAAUAUGCCUGAUACCAAAGAUUUCCCUCUAAUGUAUAACCCUCCCUUUUAAUUUUUAAUUCUUAUGGAAUUUCGGGUUUUUCCUCAUUGUUUCUUUCAUCUUUCAGUAUCCAGUUGCGUUUAUCAGCCAACUUACGGUUUGUUUGUAAAGGCAAAUAUCUUUUCCCAUUUAUCAAUCAGUGGAAUCCUUCCCAUUGUUUCUUUUAUCUCUCAGUGCUGGUUUUAUCUACCAGCAGACCCACAGCUUGCUUGUAAAGAAAAAUCUGUCAUUGCUCUCAACCUGAUCCAAAAUGUUCUUUGAGUUAGGAAGGGUUGAGAAGGGGCCAUUUGAGGCAGCAUUUGAUCACUCUGUGGGGUGUUAUUGUUGUCUUUUGUUGUUUUUUUUGGUUUUGUUCUGCCGGGAAAACACAACAAAUCUCUUAUUCUUCUACUUCUGAUUGAAUCUGAAGCUGUUUUAUUGGUGAUUCCCCUGCUGACAGCUGGGGCACGUUGGCAUCACCCCUGCUCCUCUCCCAUGGCAACGGAACACGGCCCCCAAAUGUGACAGCGUGGCCACAAGGGAAUGUUGGCCCCAGCCCUGGGAUGGUUGCCAACAACAGAACGUGGCCCUCGGACCUGCCAACGCAGCCCUAUGACAUAACCAGGUGGCCCUUGGAAAUAACCACGUGCCAGCGAGGGAAUUUUGUCCUCAGCCAUGGCCAGGUGCCACCCAUGGAGCUUCCACUUUCCCCUGAACCCCCCAGAUCAAAUUGACAGAAGUUCCAACGACAGCUGGGGCGUGCCAGAUGUAUUUUAUGAUCCUCAGGCCUUGAAAGAUUUUUUGCCUGGAUCCAGAAAGGUGCUGGAGCCCUCCCCGCGCUCGGAGCUGGCCGUGCCGGUGGUUCCAGUGCCGGUGCCGGAGGCAGCGGGCCCGGGCUGCCCGCAGGGCGGCAGGGUGGCGGCGGGCCAUGCCCAGGACCUGCUGCAGCAGUGCCUGUGUGCCGCGGGCAUCACCGAGCAGCUGCUGGAGGCCGAGGCCAAGCAGGACACAGGCGGCUUCCAGCCCUCUGCGCCUUCCCGCAGCGCCCUGCCGAUCAACCAGCCGGGCCCGGGCCGGCAGCCGCUCCUGCUGCCCUUCCUGCAGCACCCCGGGCCCUUCUCCAGCUGGCAGCUGGGCCAGGGGCCUGCUCAGCCCGGGGGACAGCAGGUGAUGGCCACUGCCCUGCCAGCGCCGCAGGUCGCGCUCCUGCAGCAGGUGCCGCAGGGGAUCAUCCUGCAGGUGAAGCAGCAAGGCCCCACCACCCUCGCCUUGCUCCCCAGUCCAGCCUCCUGUGUCCUGGGGAGUGGCCAGGGGCUGAGGCCACCAGCCCACAGACCCACUGGCCACCCCCAUUCUGUCACACUGUCACCCUGUGGCCACCAGCACCCUGGAGCAGCAGCGCCCCAGCACAGCAGCAUCCCCACACCCAACGCUGUGGGAAUUGAGCAAAAUUUCUGGUGCCUGGAGCCAAAAUGGGAGAAAUUGUACUCUUUUGUUCCUUAUUUUUAAUAAAACUCUUGAUGGAACUUGCCGUAAGAAUCCACAGUGAGAUUAUUUACUGUUAAGGCUUGAGUUUAAACACAUCCUUGAGUUAAAACACAUCCAAAACUUGUUUCAUGUUUGCAAAGUAUCAUCACCCUGGUCCCUGAGGAGAGGAAUCCAGCAUUUCUGUCCCCAUUUCUGUUGGGAAGUCAGGAGGUCCUCGUGGCAUCCAUCAGCCCCUUCAGGAGAGGAGCUGGCUUUCCUGGCAGUGUUCUUUGCUUCUGAGUUUUUCCACUUUGUUCCCAAGGUUUUCUACUUUCUUUUCCCUACAAUGUUUUUUGCCCAAUUCUCUCCUCCUUAGCAGUUUUGUCCUUCAUUUUCCAUUUUUUUCCUCUCUAAUUCCCAUUUCCCCCUUUAUUUGCAAAUUUUACACCUUUUUUCCCAGCUUUACCCCUUAUUUUCUAGUGUUCUACUUUCUUAGCUUUCCCUUUUUUAUUUCCAAUUCCUCCACUUAAUUUCCAAGAUUUUCCACUUUUUAUCUCCAAGGUUCCUUUUAUUUCUGGGUUUUUUUUUUUUUUUCUCUUUCAAGUUUCCACCCUUCAUUUCCAUAUUUCUCCACUUUGUCUCUUAGGUUUUCUGCCCCCUUUCCAAGAUUUUCCCCUUCAUUUCUCAGUUUUUCCCUUGAUUUUCAGAUUUUUUUUUUCACAUGAAAGCCUAGGAGAAACGCUGGGACUUCUCUUUGCACAGUCAGUGGGUGACAGAGCAGAGGAGGAGGAAUUUGAAAAGAGAGACAGAGUACAGGAUAAAGAUGGU
rnacentral:lncRNA from 1 species